CCUACGGGUGGCAGCAGUCGAGAAUCAUUCACAAUGGCGGAAACGCUGAUGGUGCGACGCCGCGUGGGGGAGUGAAGGUCUUCGGAUUGUAAACCCCUGUCAUGUGGGAGCAAAUUAAAAAGAUAGUACCACAAGAGGAAGAGACGGCUAACUCUGUGCCAGCAGCCGCGUUAAUACAGAGGUCUCAAGCGUUGUUCGGAAUCACUGGGCGUAAAGCGUGCGUAGGCUGUUUCGUAAGGCGUGUGUGAAAGGCGCGGGCUCAACCCGCGGACGGCACAUGAUACUGCGAGACUAGAGUAAUGGAGGGGGAAGCGGAAUUCUCGGUGUAGCAGUGAAAUGCGUAGAUAUCGCGAGGAACACUCGUGGCGAAGGCGGGUUACUGGACAUUAACUGACGCUGAGGCACGAAGGCCAGGGGAGCGAAAGGGAUUAGAUACCCUUGUAGUC
rnacentral:rRNA from 1 species